ensembl:lncRNA
CUUUGAUCGAUUUCCUCCUAGUGCAGGAAGUGUUGACUGAGGCGGCUGGCAAACAAAUCAGCACAAAGGCAACAGGGACACAUUCAAAGAUAUACAAAUGUGUUUAUUGGGUACACCCUGUCUUGCCUGAAGGCCUGGCUGGGAAGCACUGAGCUCACGUGACGUCAAAGGGGCAGGGUCUUGAAAGACCACGAUGAGCCCAGCACAGAACAGGUGGCUGCUGACCUGCCGGCAGUCGUGCUGCCUGGUGGACCCCUUUCAUGUGUGCUCCUCCUCCAUGUGCCCGCUCCCCGGAGGUGAUGGUGCUCCAUCAAGAUAAAUAUUUACGCCAGGUCCACAUGUUGACGGCUUUCCAACCUUACAUUGGCACAGCUGUGUACACAUUGUCUGAUUGCAAUUAAUCUCCUGUAAUGCAAUGUGGCAUGUUUCUUAUUGGCGACAAUUAAAAAUCGCGGAAGCGGCCUAAUGAGCACCAAUAAAUCAUUUACCAGCAGUAAUAACCAUGUGUGGCCAUGUGUGUUCACCGUAGGACUGUACACACCAACAGAGUGCAACCAUGUUCACACGGCCUUCUCCUGUCCCAUUUAGCCCAAAGUUUCUCUUCCUCUCUCUGCACCGCUAUGGUGUUGACCUGUCAUACUGGGACAUAUAGAUAUAGAUGGAUGGAUAGAUAGAUGGAUUGAGAGAUACCAUAUUCAUACCGUAGAUUGAUAUACCGUGG